UUUAACAGAUCUUGCUUUUUGAAAUAUUGUUGGAUUUUGUUUGUUGAAAUUUGAGAAGCUCUUUUGAAAUAUUGGUCCCUUUCAUGGACUUAUGGGACAAAAAGUUUGAAAAAAAAAAAAAAGAGAAAGUCUUUUAUUAACUUGUUUUCUUGAAAUUAUUGGAGGGAUUAUAAAAGAGGACCCUUCCUAUUGAUUUAGGAGGGGGAAGAACAAACAAGGAAGACAAAAAGGGACACAAACAGAGAGAAAGGGAACAACACAAAACAAAAAACACAAAGAGUAGAGAAAGGAAAAGAACAAAAAAUAUAUUCUACUUUAUAUUUCUUACACACCAAAAACGAAAACAAAAGAUAAUAAGAAAAAUUUCUUACAUACUUUAUUAUUGUUUUGCUUGUUCUCAACAUCACAAGUUAGAUUCUAUUUGCCUAUUCUUCCUAACUAAAGUAUCCAGGGCUUGAACUUCAAAGUUCAAGACACGAGGAGUGCGAAGGUUUAAAAUGUCAUUAUUUCGUUUACAUUUUUUGUAUUAUUUAUCCACUUACCUUUUAUUUUAGUUUGUAAUAAUCUUGUAAAUUCUACACUGUAUAAUAAUAUACAUUUUGGGGACUGUCUAAAGGGAGAGGGGAAAUCUACGUGAUGCAUGUUAAUUAAAUCAUAUGUCACGGUUUAAGCUUAAUAUUUUCAGCAUAUUAAUUGAAACUAUACUUACAUGA